AGAGUUUGAUCCUGGCUCAGAAUGAACGCUGGCGGCGUGCUUAACACAUGCAAGUCGAACGAGAAAGUACCUGCUUGCAGGUACGAGUAGAGUGGCGCACGGGUGAGUAACGCGUGGAUAAUCUACCUUUGGAUCUGGGAUAACAUUGCGAAAGCGGUGCUAAUACCGGAUAAUAUCGUAAUAUCUGCGGAUAUAGCGAUGAAAGGCAGCCAAUCCUUGGAAGCAGUUGUCUGAAGAUGAGUCCGCGUACCAUUAGCUAGUUGGUGGGGUAAAGGCCUACCAAGGCGACGAUGGUUAGCUGGUCUGAGAGGAUGAUCAGCCACACUGGAACUGACACACGGUCCAGACUCCUACGGGAGGCAGCAGUGAGGAAUUUUGCGCAAUGGGGUAACCCCUGACGCAGCAACGCCGCGUGAGUGAUGAAGGCUUUUGGGUCGUAAAACUCUGUCAAUGGGAAAGAAAUUACAAUAUAUUAAUAGUGUGUUGUAUUGACGGUACCCAUGAAGGAAGCACCGGCUAACUCCGUGCCAGCAGCCGCGGUAAUACGGGGGGUGCAAGCGUUAUUCGGAAUUAUUGGGCGUAAAGGGCGCGCAGGCUGUAUACUAGGUCAGAUGUGAAAGUUCAGGGCUUAACUCUGAAAGUGCAUUUGAAACCAUUAUACUUGAGUAUGGGAGAGGGAAGUGGAAUUCCAGGUGUAGAGGUGAAAUUCGUAGAUAUCUGGAGGAACACCGGUGGCGAGGGCGACUUCCUGGACCAAUACUGACGCUGAGGCGCGAAGGCGUGGGUAGCGAACAGGAUUAGAUACCCUGGUAGUCCACGCAGUAAACGUUGAUCACUAGGUGUAGCGGGUAUUGACCCCUGCUGUGCCGGAGCAAACGCAUUAAGUGAUCCGCCUGGGGAGUACGAUCGCAAGAUUAAAACUCAAAGGAAUUGACGGGGGCCCGCACAAGCGGUGGAGCAUGUGGUUUAAUUCGACGCAACGCGAAGAACCUUACCUGGAUUUGACAUCUUGGGAAUACCUUAGAAACUUGGUAGUGCCUUUCGGGGAGCCCAAAGACAGGUGCUGCAUGGCUGUCGUCAGCUCGUGUCGUGAGAUGUUGGGUUAAGUCCCGCAACGAGCGCAACCCUUAUCUUUAGUUACCAUCAUUUAGUUGGGGACUCUAGAGAUACUGCCCCGGUUAACGGGGAGGAAGGUGGGGAUGACGUCAAGUCCUCAUGGCCUUUAUAUUCAGGGCUACACACGUGCUACAAUGGUAUGUACAAAGAGUUGCUAAGCCGCGAGGUCAAGCUAAUCUCAUAAAGCAUAUCUUAGUUCGGAUUGGAGUCUGCAACUCGACUCCAUGAAGUUGGAAUCGCUAGUAAUCGUAGAUCAGCAUGCUACGGUGAAUACGUUCCCGGGCCUUGUACACACCGCCCGUCACACCAUGAGAGUUGACUGUACCAGAAGUUGUUGAGGUAACCUUCGGGAGCCAGGCACCUAAGGUAUGGUUGAUAAUUGGGGUGAAGUCGUAACAAGGUA
rnacentral:rRNA from 1 species